rnacentral:sRNA from 1 species
GUCGGGUACGGAGAUAUGUAUCCGGUUGGCAUUUUUGGAAAGAUUAUCGGCACAUUGGCAGUUUUAUGUGGAUUGCUGUCAAUUGCAUUGCCAGUUCCUGUUAUUGUUACAAAU